ACCUUUGGUGGAGAGAUCUGGAUGACUCCUCACCGAAAGCUUUUGCGCACGAGGAUGGGGCUGCGGCCGAUUAGGUUGUAGGUAGUGUAACGGACCACCUAGCCUUCGAUCGGUACGGGACGUGGGAGCGUGAGCCCGGAGACGGGUACUGAGACAAGGACCUGGGCCCUAAGGGGCGCAGCAUUCGCGAAAACUUCCCAAUGCGCGCAAGCGUGAGGGGGGAACCCCAAGUGCCAGCACAAUGUGUUGGCUUUUCUGGAGUGUGAAAAGCUCCAGGAAUAGGGGCUGGGUAAGACCGGUGCCAGCCGCCGCGGUAACACCGGCAGCCCAAGUGAUGUCCGGUUUUAUUGGGCUUAAAGCGUUCGUAGCCGGUUUGUUAAGUCCCCGGUCAAAUCCGACGGCUCAACCGUCGGUUAUCUGGGGAUACUGACAGGCUUGAGGCCGGGAGAGGUCAGAGGUACUUCUGGGGUAGGGGUAAAAUCCGAUAAUCCUGGAGGGACCACCAGUGGCGAAGGCGUCUGACUGGAACGGGCCUGACGGUGAGGGACGAAACCCUGGGGAGCGAUCCGGAUUAGAUACCCGGGUAGUCCAGGGCGUAAACGAUGUGGGCUGGGUGUGGGCCAAUCAGAAGGAUUGGUCUGUGCCGAAGC
rnacentral:rRNA from 1 species